rnacentral:rRNA from 1 species
AGAGUUUGAUCAUGGCUCAGGACGAACGCUGGCGGCGCGCCUAACACAUGCAAGUCGAACGAGCAAGAGAGAGCUUGCUUUCUCGAGCGAGUGGCGAACGGGUGAGUAACGCGUGAGGAACCUGCCUCAAAGAGGGGGACAACAGUUGGAAACGACUGCUAAUACCGCAUAAGCCCACGACCCGGCAUCGGGAAGAGGGAAAAGGAGCAAUCCGCUUUGAGAUGGCCUCGCGUCCGAUUAGCUAGUUGGUGAGGUAACGGCCACCAAGGCGACGAUCGGUAGCCGGACUGGAGAGGUUGGAACGGCCACAUUGGGACUGAGACACGGCCCAGACUCCUACGGGAGGCA